rnacentral:rRNA from 1 species
CCUACGGGCUGCAGCAGUGGGGAAUAUUGCACAAUGGGUGCAAGCCUGAUGCAGCCAUGCCGCGUGUACGAAGAAGGCCUUCGGGUUGUAAAGUACUUUCAGCGGGGAGGAAGGUGUUGUGGUUAAUAACCGCAGCAAUUGACGUUACCCGCAGAAGAAGCACCGGCUAACUCCGUGCCAGCAGCCGCGGUAAUACGGAGGGUGCAAGCGUUAAUCGGAAUUACUGGGCGUAAAGCGCACGCAGGCGGUCUGUCAAGUCGGAUGUGAAAUCGCCGGGCUCAACCUGGGAACUGCAUUCGAAACUGGCAGGCUAGAGUCUUGUAGAGGGGGGUAGAAUUCCAUGUGUAGCGGUGAAGUGCGUAGAGAUGUGGAGGAAUACCGGUGGCGAAGGCGGCCCCCUGGACAAAGACUGACGCUCAGGUGCGAAAGCGUGGGGAGCAAACAGGAUUAGAUACCCCAGUAGUC